UACGUAGGGUGCAAGCGUUAAUCGGAAUUACUGGGCGUAAAGCGUGCGCAGGCGGUGAUGUAAGACAGAUGUGAAAUCCCCGGGCUCAACCUGGGAACUGCAUUUGUGACUGCAUCGCUGGAGUGCGGCAGAGGGGGAUGGAAUUCCGCGUGUAGCAGUGAAAUGCGUAGAUAUGUGGAGGAACACCGAUGGCGAAGGCAGCCUCCUGGGCCAACACUGACGCUCAUGCACGAAAGCGUGGGGAGCAAACAGG
rnacentral:rRNA from 1 species